GAACAAUAGCCAAUGUCUACCUUUCUAUCUAUGGGGAAAAAGGAGAUACAGGAUCCAGGAAACUCUUCAGAUCAAAGAACUCUUCAAAGUUUUUAAGAGGACAAGUUGAUACCUUCUUUCUAGAAGCUGUAAACCUUGGAGAUUUAUGCAAGAUUGUUAUAGGCCAUGAUGGACUUGGGCAAGGAAAUGGCUGGUUUCUUGAGGAUGUUGUGGUCAGGGAUCCCACAACCAACCAUGAGUAUGCCUUCUUCUGUCACAGAUGGCUGGAUGAAGGAGAAGAUGAUGGUAAAAUUGUCAGAGAAAUGUAUGCUAGGGAUAAGACUAUUUCCUCCAUGAGAAAGAAGCUAGAACUUAAGAGAAAA
rnacentral:lncRNA from 1 species